AUUGAACGCUGGCGGAAUGCUUUACACAUGCAAGUCGAACGGUAGAGGGGGCAACCCCCUUGAGAGUGGCGAACGGGUGAGUAAUAUAUCGGAACGUGCCCAGUCGUGGGGAUAACGUAGCGAAAGUUACGCUAAUACCGCAUACGAUCUACGGAUGAAAGCGGGGGACUCGCAAGAGCCUCGCGCGAUUGGAGCGGCCGAUAUCAGAUUAGGUAGUUGGUGGGGUAAAGGCUCACCAAGCCAACGAUCUGUAGCUGGUCUGAGAGGACGACCAGCCACACUGGAACUGAGACACGGUCCAGACUCCUACGGGAGGCAGCAGUGGGGAAUUUUGGACAAUGGACGCAAGUCUGAUCCAGCCAUUCCGCGUGCAGGAUGAAGGCCCUCGGGUUGUAAACUGCUUUUGUACGGAACGAAAAGGUUUCUAUUAAUACUAGGAGCUCAUGACGGUACCGUAAGAAUAAGCACCGGCUAACUACGUGCCAGCAGCCGCGGU
rnacentral:rRNA from 1 species